rnacentral:rRNA from 1 species
GACGAACGCUGGCGGCGUGCUUAACACAUGCAAGUCGAACGGAAAGGCCCUGCUUUUGUGGGGUGCUCGAGUGGCGAACGGGUGAGUAACACGUGAGUAACCUGCCCUUGACUUUGGGAUAACUUCUGGAAACUGGGGCUAAUACCGGAUAGGAGCUCCUGCUGCAUGGUGGGGGUUGGAAAGUUUCGGCGGUUGGGGCUGGACUCGCGGCUUAUCGGCUUGUUGGUGGGGUAGUGGCUUACCAAGGCUUUGACGGGUAGCCGGCCUGAGCGGGUGACCGGCCACAUUGGGACUGAGAUACGGCCCAGACUCCUACGGGAGGCAGCAGUGGGGAAUAUUGCACAAUGGGCGGAAGCCUGAUGCAGCAACGCCGCGUGCGGGAUGACGGCCUUCGGGUUGUAAACCGCUUUCGCCUGUGACGAAGCGUGAGUGACGGUAAUGGGUAAAGAAGCACCGGCUAACUACGUG